rnacentral:rRNA from 1 species
AUGCAAGUCGAGGGGCAGCACGGGAGUAGCAAUACAACUGGUGGCGACCGGCGCACGGGUGAGUAACGCGUAUGCAACCUACCUAUCAGAGGGGAAUAACCCGGCGAAAGUCGGACUAAUACCGCAUAAAACAGGGGCACCGCAUGGUGAUAUUUGUUAAAGAGAUUCGCUGAUAGAUGGGCAUGCGUUCCAUUAGGUAGUUGGUGAGGUAACGGCUCACCAAGCCGACGAUGGAUAGGGAACUGAGAGGUUGGUCCCCCACACUGGUACUGAGACACGGACCAGACUCCUACGGGAGGCAGCAGUGAGGAAUAUUGGUCAAUGGGCGGGAGCCUGAACCAGCCAAGUCGCGUGAAGGAAGAAGGAUCUAUGGUUCGUAAACUUCUUUGCAGGGGAAUAAAGUGCAGGACGUGUCCUGUUUUGUAUGUACCCUGAGAAUAAGGAUCGGCUAACUCCGUGCCAGCCGCCGC